rnacentral:misc_RNA from 1 species
GUUACAACUCCCUUAGUCCUUCGUUGUCUCUGUAAAAACCAGUCUUUCUUUUUUUUUUUUACUUAUAAAAAUACUCACUACCAAGCCUCUCCUUGUCAUCAUUAUUCUCAAAGUCUUCGUAUACAAGGGAAGGCAGCAUAAUUAGAUCUCUUGUCUACCAAAACCGCUCUCCCAUCUUCUUCUUUUCCUUGUUCUUGUUCUUCUUCAUCACCAGAAGCCAAAAAAACAAAAGAAAAUGAGCUAUUACAACCAGCAACAGCCUCCUGUCGGUGUCCCACCUCCUCAAGGUUAUCCACCAGAA